UUUAACCUAAUCUGUGGUAAAUAAUUCUCAAGGGAUGUUGAGGAACCACCACAAGAUAUGUGAAACACUUGCUGUAAAGGGACAGCACAGGUGACUUUGCCAAAAGCUAUUUCCCCAGUUGUCUGGAGGCUAAAUGCCAAGAUUAGUCACUGCAGUCCUUGGACGCUAGCGGCUGCAUUCCUUGGGCACCUACUAGGAGGCUGUGUAUGCUGCGUGCCCUCCGCUCCUCCACUGCCUGCAUCUUCACUGCAGCUCCUUGAGGCCGCUGUUUUCGACGAGAAAACUGAGCUUCCAAGACAUCCACUAACUCACCCAAGCUCAUCCACCCAGGAGGUAGUGAAGGUGAAUCUGCAGUUAUCCAGUGAGCCCCUGUGCAGCUGUGGCUGGGAGAACUACCCCAGGAACCCUUUCAAACACAGGGGUGAAGACGACUGAGAAAAACCAGCCCAAGCUUGGGCAAGCUGAAUACCUACAUUUGGUUCCGUCACUUUGAAGUUUAGCACAAAAGAGCAAAUGGACUUGAGAGAGAAGUGGGAUCACAACCCAGAUAACAGCACAUUCCGUGUCUGCCCUGAGGUAAAGGGCAUAACAAGGACAUAUUUGAAGCUGAAUUUCCCAUUGGGACAGUCUGAGUAAUUUCCUCAAUUAAACUGAUGGGGUGGGAUGAAGAGUGAGACCUUCAUCGAGAAGCCACAACCUAUUAAGUGGAUCCUCAUGUGGUUCAGAAUAGAGGCGGUCCCUGGAACGAGGAAACUUCCAGAGAAGGAAGAAUAACCACAGGCAUCCGGACUCAACUCUCAGAAGAGCUGGUACCCCGGGAGAGGGUUUGCCUGGGCACAUGGGGCUGGAGUGAGAAGUGGAGGUUCCUGUUGGUGCCCUCUGUUCAUCCUCAGGGCGUGGCGUUGGCCUGUUGCCAGGAGUGGCCUGCUGGGGGACAGGCACCCUUGCCCACUCCAGCAUUCCUUCUCUCUGGGUGGGCUUGGUGACCAUACACCCUGGGCCCCUAUCCUUGCUGAACUCUUCCCUGAGUCCCGUAUGUUGGUAGAUUCCGCUGAAUUCCAGAGGCCCCAUUGAAAUGUAGGCCGGUGCUCCCGGCCCAUGACUUCAUUCUCACCAUUGAAGCCGUGCUGGGCAAUAUGUCUGUAG
rnacentral:lncRNA from 10 species